AUUGAACGCUGGCGGCGUGCCUAACACAUGCAAGUCGAGCGGUAACAGGUGUAGCAAUACAUGCUGACGAGCGGCGAACGGGUGAGUAAUGCUUCGGAAUCUGCCCAUGUAGUGGGGAAUAACCAGCCGAAAGGUUGGCUAAUACCGCAUACGACCUACGGGUGAAAGCAGGGGAUCGCAAGACCUUGCGCUAUUGGAUGAGCCGAAGUCGGACUAGCNGUUGGUAGGGUAACGGCCUACCAAGGCGACGAUCCGUAGCUGGUCUGAGAGGACGACCAGCCACACUGGGACUGAGACACGGCCCAGACUCCUACGGGAGGCAGCAGUGGGGAAUAUUGGACAAUGGGGCAACCCUGAUCCAGCGACGCCGCGUGUGUGAAGAAGGCCUGCGGGUUGUAAAGCACUUUUAGUGGGGAUAGAAAAGCACAUGGCUAAUAUCCGUG
rnacentral:rRNA from 1 species